AUGACCGGGAGCAAGGACUUGGUGGUGGACGUGCAAGAGAUUCCAUCUAUGCCCACCAAUGUCGAGUGGGGUGAUGCAUCACAUUCUAAGGUAUUGGGUCUCGGCAAGGUUGUCAUCUCUCAUGAUCUAACGAUCGAGAAAGUCAUGCUUGUUGAGUCCCUUGCAUUCAAUUUACUUUCCGUUCGUCAACUUGCACUCAUGGGCUUUGCCACAUUCUUUGAUAUUGAUACCGUGGCCCUCUUGUGGAGCAAGACUCUUAAAGUAGCCUUCGUUGGGCAUGUCGAGAAUGGUCUCUAUGUGGUUAACUUUUCGGAGCAACCCACUAAGACCGCGACAUGCCUAAUGGCUAAAGUUGACGUGGGAUGGCUUUGGCAUCGCCAUUUGGCCCACGUCAAUAUGAGAUCUUUGCAAAGUUUUCUCAAGGGCGACCAUGUUCGUGGACUAACAAAUGUUAGUUUUGCCAAAGAUCGUGCUUGA
rnacentral:rRNA from 1 species